GGAAGCGGCGGUUGUCCGUCGCCCGAUCCGUUCUGCUGGCGGCAGGGGAAGGCGGGGGGCGUGGAGACGGCGGAGUUCAGUACAGCGGCAGCGAUGGCCGCGGCGUUUCCAAACCAGAAAACGAAUUUCUUCUUUUAAAGUUGCUGUUGGGGAAAGUCGUCACGUUGGCUUGACUGCACAAAUGUACGAGGGUUGCUCCGAAAGUAAUGCUUCCUGCUUUCUUACGUUGACCCACGGCGUCAGGGGCAGAUGUUGGUGGUUCGGCGGUAGAGGUCGAACCUUUACACCAGCACCCCGUUACACGCUGUUGCCGUGUGACAGAGGGCAGCAGAAGGGCUCUCUGACAGGAUGGUGCCUGACACAGAGCUCUCAUACCCGACUCCACACAGCAGAGAAGGCUCUGCUUCUUCUAAUUAAGAAGAGAAUUUUGAAAUAUCUGCUGAAUUCUUGACCUUCAGAAUUCCCUCUGCCAGUGUUCCUCUGAUCUGGGCUCUCAAGGGCUUCCACUGUUCGUGUGAAAAUAGAGCAUCCCCUCAGUCCUGAGGCUCGACCAGAAGAGGUGAAGUUAGCAUCUGUGCUCCCUGAGUGUCCUUGUUGAGUAGGUCCGUGUUCCUUUGGUUCAUCAGCAAGGAGCCACCUGCAUCACAUGGACCUGUUGGUGUGCAUCCAGAGGAGUGCCACAAAAGUGAUCCAUGGGAUGGAACACCUUCCCUACGAGGACAGGCUGAGAAAGCCAGGGCUGCUCAUUCUGGAGAAGAGAAGGCUCCAGGGAAGCCUGAGAGUGGCCCUAAAGAGGGCUGUUAGAAAGAAGAGGACAGACUCUUUAGAAGGGUCCCUUGUGAUAAGACAAGGGAAAAUGGUUUCAAAUUAAAAGGGGAAAAUUGUAUAUAAGGCAGAAGUUUUUUACAAUAAGAGUGGUGAGGCACUGGCACAGGUUGCCCAGAGAAGCGGUGGGUACCCCAUCCCUGGAGACAUCCAAGGUCAGGCUGGAGGAGCUCUGAGCACCCGGAUGUAGCUGUGGGUGUCCCUGUUCAUUGCAGUAAGGUUGGCCUAGAUGGCCUUUAAAAGUCCCUUCCAACUGAAAUAAUUCUAUGAUCACGUGUAGCCCAGCAAAGAGAAAGGUGUUUCCUGCUUGCCCUUUGUCAGUGAAUCCUGGCAGGAUGGAUGUUAUGCUGGGAUGCUGCAGACCUGCAGCUUGGAGGAGACAGAGGUCAGAGGAGAUAGAUGGAGGCUAAGAGCUGCGAGUCAAAACCUUCAAAGCUGAAGUCCCCACUCUGCCUGCUGGAGAACAGAGUCUGUAAAACUGCAGGGAGGGCUGCUCUGCAGGGCUGGGGGCAGGCCCACUGUCCUUCCCCAACUGCUCACAGGGACUGCAUUCCCUUCAUCUCCAUGAGCUGCUUAUAAAUGCCUUAGCGGUGUAUUUCCCUUUAUCUGAGAAGAGGGAAAGAAGCAGUGUUAUUCUGCUCCUUUCCUUUCAGUCCUUUGCAGUUCACACCUGUCUCAUCUACUGUUUUUUUCCUUCCCUUUUGCUGCGGCGUGAGGCUCUGCGGCAUGGUGAUAGGACAGAAGAAAUCUUCCUGAGAAAUGUGAAACAGGGCCACACAAACUGAAUAUUGUGUUCCAGGCCUAAGACAGAGCAGCUGGGGAAGGGACCGUGCUCCAGGCUGCCCUGCAGCCCUGGUCGUCUCAGAUGGCUUCUCAGGGUGUUGGGUGGGGAUGGCCCUUUGUGUAGGCGAUCCCUAGAGGUGUGCUGACUGCACUGGGUGGAUUUCGGCACAGAAAUCUGAAUUGACUUAUUUCUGACCAACCCAAGGGACUUUGUCACCCUUUGAGGAAGGCUGAGAACAUCGGCUGGAGGACUGGUAGGUAGUAGAAGAGCUUCAGGGCACCUAUGGGCCUGGAAGUAAAUACCCAGGGUCACUCCACUUGUUAAUAUUGGUGUGUACUUCAGAGAAUCCACAGCUCUUCAUGAACACACAGCAGCUCUUCAGAGCUCUUUCAACGCCUUUCUGCCUCCUAUGACCAGCAAGGGUGCUGGUGUCUUGUCUUGGAGGAACUGCUGCAGAGAUCCAUUCCCUUUCUGCCUCUUGAUAUUCAUUUUACAUUAGCGUGUGAGUACCCACUCUAUACAAAUCUUUGGGUGGUUCUGCUGAAGAUGUUUCCAUGCUGUGCAGCACCGAAGAUGUUUUACUGCUGCUUCCCACGCUUAUCAAGAACUGAAGCCAAUAGUGAUUGUCUAAUCACUCAUACGCCCUCUCUGUUCUGCAACAGCGUUGUCAGAGUUUUCUAUCUAUGGCAAUUCUUUUGUUUGUUUCAUUUUUCCUGAUGUCUAUGCUGAGUUAGUUUUAGGAACAAAAGUCUGCUUUUAAUCAGUAUCCUAAAAAAUAAGUUUUUCCUGGAAGUAACUCAAGGAAUGGUAUCACUGGCGUCACUAGCUCCUUGAGACAAGCCUUCAGCUGCUGUGAAACACAAAGAUCUGCUGGCUCUCCUGCAGAGUUCCAGGCAUGUAGAUAAUGUAUGUUUUGCUUGUUCCAGGCAGCCCAGCCGCCCUUCAACACGCAAGGGUUCAUGUGUGGAGUGGGCAGUACCAUUCUGAGUGUGAGCUUCAUGUAAAUGCUUUAACAAUAUAUACCCUUUUAUCUGAAAAAAGGUAAAAACAAUCUUAUUCACCUGCUUUUUAUGAAUUUCAUGAAUGCUUUUCCUUCUACCAAUCCAUAUGGGUACAGCCAGCUUGUGAUUUUUCUCUAUAAGGUUUUGCGAGGUACGUCAAGGGAUGCUUCAAGUGAAGUGCUACCUCAAUGAAUAUGCCUUGCAAACCCGCAAAAUGACUUAUUUCACUCUGUUAAACUCACUUAAGCAAAAGCAUUUCCUAUCUAAAAGAAGGGUGUACCCUCUGUAUCUUUCACGCCACAAAUUUAUAAGUGCCUCUUUUUUUUCUUCCUUUUGGUUCACUCUCCUUGUUGCUGAGCCUUCAAAUAUUGUGAUCAGAAUACGGAAAGGUCUAUCGUGUUGCACAUGUAAGAGUGUAAAACUAGAAAUAUUGAUCUGAUUGUUCUUUCAGCUUGUAAGAGUUCAUCUAAUAGCCACAUUGAAGUCCUGCUUUUCUACUGCUUACUGAGUGAAAAACAAUUCUGUUUUGCCCUUCCUAGCCAGGAAGCAUCCUGCUGGCUUUUCACACCAUAGGCUUGCAGAUAGACUUUUUGCACUGAUUUAUUUUUUUCCUUUACCCUUAAUCUUGUGAGGUAGGUUGUAGCUAGUAGGAUGAUACAGAGUCUGAUCAUGUCCGUACUGAAGUCAGUGCACAACGUUGAUGGAUUUCAGUGGUCCUAGAUUAACUCAUUAGUUGUACCUACGUUUGCAGGCAGGCAAGGACUGUGAAGCAUGCCCAGAUUAUACCUGUCCCAGCAUGGACACAGUCUAGUUUGAUUUCCUUCACUGUAAUCCUAGGGGAAAUCACUAGGUAUGGGCUCAACAAAUUCCAGAAAAGCAGUGCACAGCCCAGCAGCUCUCACAGUGUUCUACCACUGACAAAUUGCAGUAGGUGCAAGCGUGAGAUAGAAAUACAAGAAACAAAUGCCCCAAAGAGAUGGGUGGUUCUGGCUAGUUUCAGUUGUCAUUGCUCAUCACCUGAAGGGCACUAAUGUUCCCUCACACCAGCAGUACCCAAUGCCCAUCACUCCUUUUUUGUGUUGCCUCUAGGGAGAUGUGUGCCAUGGCGCUUCUUUAGGAGGAUGUGUUUAUAAAUGUACAUGUGCACUAAGUCAUCGUUCAGCCUCUAAGGGGAGCUGGGACUCUGGAAAAUGCAAGAGGACCAGAAACAUUGGAAUACAAAGGUACUUGCCAUCAGCUAAAUGUGCUGGAAGAGAAAAUGAUCUCAUGGAAAUAUUUCCACACCUCUUUUAUCUUUUUUUUUCCCCCAAAGUUCUGGUACCAAACGUGACCCAUUAAUACUUUUAAUUUUGCCUACUUCCAAUAGAAAUAUUGAUGCAUAGAAAGGCAUAGAGUGACAGCAAACAACUUAUCAGUCUUCUUUCAUGAAGUUCCUCUGCCUCUCAGCUCUUCUAGUUAAAUAUUCUUUACUUGGAAAUGCUCUCCUAGUGUGUCCUUACUGGUUAGUUAUAAUCCUCUCCUGUUGGCUGUGAAGUGUCUCCCACUGAUCAAGUGCAGCAAAGUGCUGCUCCUUUCCCAGGCAAAAAUCUCUGCAGCUCCCCUGGCCUCAGGGUAACGUUGUGCCCCUAUGGAGCUUGGCACCAGGUCCUGCUAAGGUUCCCAUGUCUGCUAUCAAUCAAGGGAAGCCAUGGCUGGGAAGGGACUCUUUCUUUGUUAGUGCUCAGAUUCUCCCUGCAAGCUUAGUAUGAGUGGCUCAAGUCAGGAAAAGACCCAUCUUCAGUUGGGGUGAACUGGUACAAUGGCAUUCAUGAAGGAAACAGAAGGAAAACAAAGCAAAACCACAUGGCUUCUCCAGCUUCCCUGAAUGUGGGUCCAGGUCAGAUGUUACCUUAUCUAUAUGGACUUCCCUAUACCACUUUUCCUUAGUUAAGACAAGGCAUUAUUCAGACAAGCUUAGUCAGAUGCAAGCUGUCUUUCCUAAAAUCACAUUGCAUUUCACCUCCAUUUGUUUCUGCAUCUCAAUUACUAUUUCCUUCAAUACCUAUUUUAAAACUUUGUAUAUGAUGGAGGUCAGACUAAUGAUCUGUACUUUCAAAAUGGUUUCUUUCUCAGCUCAAGAUCUUACCCUAAAUUCGUUAAAGCUCUUUCAGUUAUUGAAGUGCCUGCUCAAUCUCCUCUACUUCUACUUUGUUAACACUGCAGUGUUCAGGGAAGAUUCAAUUCAAGGUGUAACCUUGAAUUGUCUGUAUACACAGGUUCUCUGACUGUUCAACAUCAAAUUACAUUUUCAAAGAAAUUGAACACCAUGCAGGUUAAGUCUCACUCUAUUUUCAGCCUUAAAUCUGUACAGAUUGUGAAAUAGCCUCUGCUCUGCACUGCAGUCAUAUCAAUAGUUAACAGACAUAGGCAAUGUGUUUCAUUUACUUGAGGCUCUCAGAUCAAUAGAAAGUGUGACACUUUUUUUUUUGACUUUCCUAUGCAAAAAUGUCAUCAAUUAUUAAUCAAAGCAUACCAAAUUUCAUUGAAGAUCUGACUUCCUGCAGCAAGAUACAGUAUCCUUAAAUGGUAAAGUGCGUUAAAUACUGCAUGCUGGAAUAGUUUUUAAUUGCGAUGUGGAAUGGAUCUAAUAGGAAAGUGUAAAUGAGAGUAAUAUGAGCUUCAAUAUGGGUACAGAAAGCAUGCAGAACAGCAUGCCAUAGAAAUGAUCCUGAAGGCCCUCAGGGCCCAUAUAAUCAUGAAUGUUGGAAGAGACCACUAAGAUCAUCCAGUCCAACCACCAGCCCAUCUCCACCGUGCCUACUAACCGUGUCCCUCAGUGCCACAUCCACACGGUUCUGGAACACUCCAGGGAUGGUAACUCUACCACCUCCCAUUUCAUCACUUCUAAUGAUUAAUCUGCAGCUGGGAGGCUCAGCAUGGGCAUUCACAUCUGUGCAGAGAGCCAACAGGCCCCAGAUCCACAUCUAUGGCCCAGCCCUGCGUGAGGAAGCAGGGAAUGCCAGAAACCAAAUGUCAAGGCUGGGGCUGUCUUCCAUGCAGUGGUCUCUGGUGAUCUUCAGCCUGGCUCUUAAGGAGAUCCUGAGCACCCCCAGCCUGCUGGAGCUGUGCUGGGCUGUGCCAGGAACAGUGCUGCUGAGGGAGCCAUGAUAGUUGCAGCACUGGACCUGGGCCUUGCUUCAGCUUCCAGCAAACAGCUUCCAGUAUUUAUUUCCCAGCUCUGUUGGCUUUAAAAAAGCUCAGUUUGAGCCAUGGCUGUCAGGAGCAUUAUGUUCAAAUGCGAGAUGAAAUGACUUAAAGACUCAUUUAGAAGGACUGUGAACCCUGUCAGAACUGAUAACCAAGGCCUUGCUUGCCUUAUUAUUUUCCCAUGCUCAAUUUAUUGAAUGUGUGCAGGGAAUGAGUUGAAAACAAAGUGCUGUGUUUGUGUGACAUAUUUAAAUUGUCUAUCAGUAGCCUCAGACACUGCGGUUAGCCAUUAAAUAAAUCACAGUUAACAGGCCAAUUCAGGGUGAUCUAUUUUGGUAUUUACAAUAGUGGCCUAGGAGAGGAAACAGAGGCUUUUUGCAGGGAAAUAAGGACCCAUCCAUCCCAGGGCCCUCCAAGUAAAGUAUCAAAUGCUUCUGAAAAUGGUAUUUUAAAAUAUAGUAUGGAAUGAGUUUCCAGCUUCUCCCAGGAGUGGAAAGCAGGCCAGUUUCUCUGCUUUGCCCUUUCAGUUUUUACAUGAUCUAUGUGUUCAUUUUGAGCUAAAUGGAAGAACAUUGUGUUGGUUGGGUAUUUUUAUUUUAUUUUUAGAAGAUUGUUUUCCUUUAAUAAGAUUGGAAUCCGUGCCUUUGGAACUCACCUGUUGCCAAGCUCAGCAGAUGAAAGUGGACAGCCUUGUCAUUAAUUGCAACAAGGCAAGGAAGCUGAGGCGCAGAGGCCCUUGGGAGGUUUGUCCAAGGCUGGAGAAGCUCUGGAGCAGAAAUGGGAAGAGAAGAAAGCACAUCUUGUGAUUGCACAACCACGGCUCCGUCCCUGGAGGCCAGCAUGUGGCAUCAAGGAAGCUAUCGGACCCUGGCUAAAGCACUGGCAAUUUUCUCUCCUCUCUAGCUGCUCUGUCUUGCACUGCCUUAUGAGGAUGCGACACUGUGUGGAUAUGAGAAGCUGGAAAGGACAGGCAUGGCAUGGAGUUUACUUUGCCAACAUUGAACUGGCAUCAAACAGAAGAUCUAUUUUUCGCCCUGCUCUGGUUGUCUGCAGCAUCUGGAUAAGCUGGAGACAGCAUUUGCUAAACUGAAAAGUAUUUAGGGAGAAGAAGUUCUCUGUCUGUACCUCGGCUCUCAGCAGCUGGACCAUUUAUGGAUGCUCUGUAAGGGCAGUGUAUGAUGACUUGCAGCAUUCCUCCAUGAGAAGCUUUUGUGGGAUUUCUGUCUUAUCAUUAGCACGUUAUAAAAAUGUCAACUAUUUCCAAACCUUUCAAGUUUCAUUGGAAGGACUACUCUGAAUUUCAGCCCUGAAGUCGGUUGAUGUGCGGUUUGAUCAUCUGUUCCUCCUCUCGUACAGAUGCUCUCAAUG
ensembl:lncRNA